rnacentral:rRNA from 1 species
GAUGAACGCUGGCGGCGUGCCUAAUACAUGCAAGUCGAGCGAACGGACGAGAAGCUUGCUUCUCUGAUGUUAGCGGCGGACGGGUGAGUAACACGUGGAUAACCUACCUAUAAGACUGGGAUAACUUCGGGAAACCGGAGCUAAUACCGGAUAAUAUUUUGAACCGCAUGGUUCAAAAGUGAAAGACGGUCUUGCUGUCACUUAUAGAUGGAUCCGCGCUGCAUUAGCUAGUUGGUAAGGUAACGGCUUACCAAGGCAACGAUGCAUAGCCGACCUGAGAGGGCGAUCGGCCACACUGGAACUGAGACACGGUCCAGACUCCUACGGGAGGCAGCAGUAGGGAAUCUUCCGCAAUGGGCGAAAGCCUGACGGAGCAACGCCGCGUGAGUGAUGAAGGUCUUCGGAUCGUAAAACUCUGUUAUUAGGGAAGAACAUAUGUGUAAGUAACUGUGCACAUCUUGACGGUACCUAAUCAGAAAGCCACGGCUAACUACGUGCCAGCAGCCGCGGUAAUACGUAGGUGGCAAGCGUUAUCCGGAAUUAUUGGGCGUAAAGCGCGCGUAGGCGGUUUUUUAAGUCUGAUGUGAAAGCCCACGGCUCAACCGUGGAGGGUCAUUGGAAACUGGAAAACUUGAGUGCAGAAGAGGAAAGUGGAAUUCCAUGUGUAGCGGUGAAAUGCGCAGAGAUAUGGAGGAACACCAGUGGCGAAGGCGACUUUCUGGUCUGUAACUGACGCUGAUGUGCGAAAGCGUGGGGAUCAAACAGGAUUAGAUACCCUGGUAGUCCACGCCGUAAACGAUGAGUGCUAAGUGUUAGGGGGUUUCCGCCCCUUAGUGCUGCAGCUAACGCAUUAAGCACUCCGCCUGGGGAGUACGACCGCAAGGUUGAAACUCAAAGGAAUUGACGGGGACCCGCACAAGCGGUGGAGCAUGUGGUUUAAUUCGAAGCAACGCGAAGAACCUUACCAAAUCUUGACAUCCUUUGACAACUCUAGAGAUAGAGCUUUCCCCUUCGGGGGACAAAGUGACAGGUGGUGCAUGGUUGUCGUCAGCUCGUGUCGUGAGAUGUUGGGUUAAGUCCCGCAACGAGCGCAACCCUUAAGCUUAGUUGCCAUCAUUAAGUUGGGCACUCUAAGUUGACUGCCGGUGACAAACCGGAGGAAGGUGGGGAUGACGUCAAAUCAUCAUGCCCCUUAUGAUUUGGGCUACACACGUGCUACAAUGGACAAUACAAAGGGCAGCGAAACCGCGAGGUCAAGCAAAUCCCAUAAAGUUGUUCUCAGUUCGGAUUGUAGUCUGCAACUCGACUACAUGAAGCUGGAAUCGCUAGUAAUCGUAGAUCAGCAUGCUACGGUGAAUACGUUCCCGGGUCU